rnacentral:tRNA from 1 species
GGGAAUGUAGCUCAGGGUAGAGCAAUUGCUUACUAUGCAAGAGGCCCUGAGUCCAAUCCCU